AUGCUAUGUAGUAUUAAACAGUUAUUGGAUAUUGUUGUAAGCGGUCAAACAGUGCAGCAGAAGCCUUUUCAAUUUGUCAAAAUGCCGAACCGUGAGACCCUUGAAAUUCAGAUCGCGUCUGUGAUGGAGAUUUUGGCAAAAACUGCAGUAGCAGAGAUAUGUAAAGUUGUAGACAGUGGUUGCGUGGAGUUUAGGUUAGAAAUGUGUCGCAGACAAAAGGAAAUUGAAGCUCUGCGUAAGAAAGUCCACUGUCUGACAAGGGAACGAACAUCUACUCGAGUAGCUCGGCUGGAUUCGGUUGCUCCUCGGCAGCGCACAGUUGGUGUUCAGGUCGACACGGAACAAGGUGUUGCAGAAAGCCAGGGGAUGACAAAGCUACUAAGUCAGGAUGAACCCAAAGGCCGAGCUGCUCCUGGACUGGUCGUGAAAGUCGAGCGAGGGCAAAAGAAUAAUACUCAGGGCACCCAUCAGAGCCCUGGGGAGGAAUUUGCGGUGGAUUUCUCCGUGUCUGAGGUGGACUUUCCUCUGUGGGCACCAGAGAUGUUGGAUUCAGGUGGCCCAGACUGUGACCUCAGUGAGGCCCCGCCCCAUUCACCCGGCCACACAGAUGCCUCCACUGAGCCACACCCAGGCAUCCGAGUGGAAGCUGAUCCUCAGUUCGGUCCGUCUCCACUAGAGAAACACAGCUGUGGUGUCCUUCCUGCGCUGCGGUUAGCGCCUAUCAAAAUGGAGCACAGACACCAGUGUGUGUCCACCUCUGGAUCAGGGUCAACUGAAACAACAAGCCAAGAUGGGCACACAGCCUGGCAUGCCCACCCAACAGAGGCGAAUGUUGGGAAACCGACACUCGCUCAGGUACACAGCAGCCAAAAGGGGGAGCAAGAGCAAGAGCAAGAGCAGGGAGGAGAGGGUGUGGGCCCUGGCUGGGGGUUAGGGGGAGCCCUGGAGGAGAGACUGUACCUGUGCUCCAGGUGUGGGCAGGGCUUCCCCCGCUACCAGCAGCUGGAGGCGCACAGUGAGGGACACACUGGCGAGGGGGGCACCAAAUGUGGCACGACACCUGUUAACGGAGCCACACAAAGAGGCAGUGCUGACAAACAUCCCAAGUGCUUAGGUGAGCGACAUCAGCAAAAAGCUUGCAUAAUCCACAGGAUGUACAGGAACAUGCAAGAAGAAUGCAUAGACAUCAUGUAAACACUGAUUUAUUGUGCUAGUGUUGUGUUCAUUCACUUCAUUUCAGUGUGAAUGUGUUAAAAAAUACCCCAUAAAGCUCUAUUAGUAACAUCUCUGAAUAAACACUGUAAAUGUAUAAAGUAAUUUUAUUUU
rnacentral:lncRNA from 1 species